rnacentral:rRNA from 1 species
GACGAACGCUGGCGGCGUGCUUAACACAUGCAAGUCGAACGGAAAGGCCUGCUUUCCCUUGUGGAUUGCGGGUACUCGCGUGGCGAACGGGUGAGUAACACGUGAGUGAUCUGCCCCCAACUUGGGUAUAAGCCUGGGAAACUGGGUCUAAUUCCCGAUAGGACUGCAGGGUGGUGCCCGUGGUGGAAAACGAUUUUCUAGUGGUUGGGGAUGAGCUCGCGGCCUAUCAGCUUGUUGGUGGGGUAAUGGCCUACCAAGGCGGCGACGGGUAGCCGGCCUGAGAGGGUGGACGGCCACAUUGGGACUGAGAUACGGCCCAGACUCCUACGGGAGGCAGCAGUGGGGAAUAUUGCACAAUGGGCGGAAGCCUGAUGCAGCGACGCCGCGUGGGGGAUGACGGCCUUCGGGUUGUAAACUCCUUUCGACCGCGAGGAAGCCACCUGGUUGGAAGGGUGGUGACGGUAGUGGUAGAAGAAGCACCGGCUAACUACGUG